rnacentral:lncRNA from 1 species
ACAUGAACACGUUAUAUUUGAUUUAAGUUUCCGAAUCAAACAUCAUUUCACGCGGACAACAAAGUAUAUGAAGAAGUAGAACUUAGGCAUUAAGUGAUGUAGAACACUUAACAUAGUCAUUAGCUGUCUCAUGGACCAGCAAAUACAAAACAAAGUGCAUUUUACGACUGACAACAAAUAGUCUCAUACCGAAUUACAGACACUAACACUGACAGACCACAACACACACAGUGUGUGAGGGCUUUUAGGUACACAUGGCAUCAUAGACAUACAGCAACUUUCAGUCGCAAACAUUUUUAUAGUGAAGAAAGAUGGAUAGUCUUCAUGAGAAUGUUGCUUAGACGCCGUUGAUCUUCGUAAUGUUGGAAUCCAUGGUCAUGAGCAGGUAUCCAAGCACCUUCCUAUGUUCGAGCAAUCCUUCCUGGAACAGUUUGAUUGAAAAAUAGUUGAGUUUUCCAACAAUAUUGUAUAUGCAUUUGAUGAAGAAUAAACAUUUCAUAGGACACCGAAAAAUGCAGCAGCGCAAACAAUCUGAUACCUGGUCCAGCACAGGUUUGGCUUGGUUGUUCGUCAUGUUCCUCGCGGCAUAUGCAACAUAUAUCGCAUCAUUUGGGCUUUUUUAAAAAGAAAAAUGAUGAAUUAUUUCAGCAACCUGCAGAUAUUUCUUACAAAUGAUAAUUAAGACUCAAUGUUUGUUAGAGCUAACCUCGCUCCUGGACCCCCAGUGUGUUUGAUGAUGUUAAAGCCCAGUGCACUAGGAAUAGUUGCACCUAGCACAAUAGACAUGCAGUGACCCAGUGCCAGAAAAAGAUCAUAAGCUUUACGAUGGUGGUUGGCCACAGCUAUGGCGGGAAAAUCACCAUUGACCACAGGGUCGUACACAUGCACUGUUGUAUGUGUUCCCUUAAUAUUGUAAGCGUAGCAGACCCAAUUGACUUUGUCACCUAGUAUCACAACUACCUGAUAUUGGAAAAGAAUUGUUAUUGUUCAAUACUACAUUUCUCACAGAUUUAGUUCUAUCAAAAGAUGAGGCAAAGAAAAAAUUGUGUACAAUUUUGUCGAUGUAUAGCAAGGUACCUCUUUGCAGUCCUGGACCUUGUAUGGUACACUUGAACCCCUAAAGAAGUGCCCUAUGGCUUCCAGAGGUGGAGUUCCAUUGUAAAUAUCGCAAGUCCUAAAAUAAAGUUACAUUCGUUAGUUGUUUUGACCACGCCGAAUUAUUUAUUAUCUUAGGUACUUACCACGAACUCUUGAGGAAGGAAAUGACGAUUGCGCAAGCGAGAAAGAUGCUCACACGCCUUGUGGUCAACCUCAUUGAACAGCACAACUACAGCUGACAUCAUGUCAUUCUGAAAUGCACCGCUGAGCUACUUCUUCAGACUAGUCCCUGUUAUAAUCAAUGGCAUUUGUCCAGGGAUGUAGAUAAAGUUC